rnacentral:lncRNA from 1 species
CUUACCUGAUUCCAGUGCUUAAUACAGUACUUGGCACAGAGUAAGUGCUUAACAAUACCAUCAUAGUAAUAAUAACUGUAGUAUUUGUUAAACGCUUACUAUGUGCCAAGCACUGGGGUGGUUACAAGCAAAUCGGGUUGGACACAGUCCCUGUCCCAUGUGGGCUUCCCAGUCUCAAUUCCCAUUUUACAGGUGAAGCACAGAGAAGUGAAGUGAUUUUCCCAAGGUCACACAGCAGACAAGUGGAGGAGCCAAAUUAGAAUCCAAGACCUUCUGACUCCCAGGCUGGCACUCUAUCCACUAAACCAUACUGCUUCUCGCUUCACUGUGCUGUUUCUCAUCAUUAUUAUCAUUCAUCAUUCAAUCCUAUUUAUUGAGCCCUUACUGUCUGCAGAGCACUGUUCUAAGCGCUUGGAAAGUACAGUUCGGCAACAGAUAGAGACAAUCCCUACCCAACAAUGGGCUCACAAUUAGAUCAGGCGCAGUCUUUGUCCCACAUGGGACUCCCAAUCUAAGGAGAAAGGAGAAAUUUUCAUGACAUGAAUGAGGAAACCGAGGCACAGAGAAGUGAACUGAUUUGCCCAAGGUCACACAGCAGGUAAGAGCACUUGGCUGGGGUUAGAUGUUGGGUCCCUCUGGUCUCCCAGCUCUGAGCAUUUUCCCCUAGGCCACACUGCUUUUCAGCUACUACCCUGAAAGUUCCUGAGUUAUUCUGGAUCUCCUACCCAGAUCACCCUCUGGACCUUAAGCUCAUUAUGGACAGGGAACUGGUCUGCUAAUUCUGUUGUAUUGUACCCUCCUAAGUACUUAGUACAGCACUCUGCACGUAGUAAAUGCUAAAUGAAUACUGUUGAUUGAUCACAAUUGGCAGAAAAAAGAUGAUCCCAACCUAGAAGGGAGGAUACUGGCGUAGUGGCCUAGUGGAUAGAGCACGGGCCUCUUGGAGUCAGAGGAUCUGGGUUCUAAUCCUGUAUAUAUAACUGUAUAUAUUUUCGUUACCCUAUUUAUUUUGUUAAUGAAUUGUACAUCGCCUUGAUUCUAUUUAGUUGCCAUUGUUUUUACGAGAUGUUCUUCCCCUUGACGCUGUUUAGUGCCAUUGUUCUUGUCUGUCCGUCUCCCCCGAUUAGACUGUAAGCCCGUCAAACGGCAGGGACUGUCUCUAUCUGUUGCCGACUUGUUCAU